rnacentral:misc_RNA from 1 species
GAUGAAGAACGUAGCGAAAUGCGAUAAGUAAUGUGAAUUGCAGAAUUCAGUGAAUCAUCGAAUCUUUGAACGCCCAUUGCGCCCCCCAGUAUUCUGGCGGGCAUGCCUGUUCGAGCGUCAUUUCAACCAUCAAGCCCUGCUUGUGUUGGGGUCCUGCGGCUGCCCGCAGGCCCUGAAAACCAGUGGCGGGCUCGCUAGUCACACCGAGCGCAGUAGCACAUCUCGCUCAGGGCGUGCGGCGGGCUCCAGCCGUUAAAGCACCCACCUUUCGCAAGGUUGACCUCGGAUCAGGUAGGAAUACCCGCUGAACUUAAGCAUAUCAAUAAGCGGAGGA